AGUUUGGUGGUGGGUUACUUCCUUACAACUUGUUUUCCAAACAAGGGUAGACUUUCACCAAUGGGAUAGAAUGAGAGUGUCUAGAGGGAGGAUCAGGAGUGGGAGGCCAACAUCAGCUUUCUUAGACUUCGUCCACUUCACAUUUAGCCAUGGAAAUAAUUAGCCAACUAUAAAUCAAUAAAGAAUACUAGAUGCCAGACUUUUCUAAUCAGAACCCAACCCAAAAGUCUCCGAGGAAGGUCAGCAAAUAAAGAAUGAAGAUUCAGCUCCACAGACUGGUAAGGCUAUAAAUGUAGGAGGUUGUUGUUGAUACUGAAGCCCUAGAACUGAGCACAUGACCAGUGCUCUCUGCCCUUAGUGCUGUCUGGGUCACCAGUUCAGCUCAGCGAGGACUGAGGUGGCCUCACAGGUGUUCUGGAGGUGGUCUUUCCUCCCAGAGAUCCCUGUGGCACAGCUUGUCAGGGAGGGUUCUGCAAGGUAUAAGAAGGAGAGAUGCCCACAGUUUGAAUAGAAGAGUACAAAGCAUCACCAGCAGGAGCAGCAGGAGCAGCAGUAGCUGUGACAGCUAUAAGGCCCAUGAUCACAGCUAUUAAAGUAAGUAUGAAUCUCUUUGAUCUAUUAAGUAUUCCUUUUAGUACUUCAGUGAUAAUACGUAUGGAAGUAGAGGCCUCCCAGGGUCUACUGAGGGAAACAGGUAUCCAAACUCCUUCUUGGGCCCUAACCAGUAAAACGCUAUUAUCUUUAUUAAAGGUAGAAUUAAUGCAGGUAAAAAGAUGACAGUUGAGGCAUGAUAUGGUUUGAGAGUCAGGUAGGAUAUUAAUUUUUCCCACUGCCAACAUAAAAGGAGGUCUAACACAACUCUGCAAUGGGACCAACUGAUUAGAGGUCAUGGCUACAACAAAUCGAAGUUUUUUACUACGGGUCUCUGUUUUAUAUUCUCCUUUCCAAAUCCAAAUUGGGGUUUGAGCCAUCAUUAAUUUCUACAAUUCUAGAUGUUCUGGACUUAUAAUUGGAUCAAUCAUUUUUGGGCUUGGAGGAGCCAUACCAUUUUCCUCCCACUUAAUAGGGUAAUUUGUUUCAAUUUUUCUAUAUAAUUUUGGUGCAUUAUCUUGGUAGUCGUUUGCAAAAGGAGUCUCUCUACAAUCUUUGCACUGUCCAGUACAAUUUACUGCAAAGUGUCCCCUAGGGGCCCAAUCAAUGAUUCCAUAGGAAUUAUUCUGCAGUACAGCAGCACUGUUUGCAAUACAAUCUUCCCAGGUUAGCACCUUUAGCUUUCCAGACCAUUUAGUGGCCUGCCUAGGGCAGGGCUUCUUAUUGGGUUUAAAUUUAUUAAUCUGGCGAUGUGUCAUAACAUAGCCAUGCUCAGGGUAUUUAAUAGUGUCCAAAGAUUGAAAUGUUCUUCCACUGAUUGCAUGAAUAGAGGCUUUUGGUCCAUUAUGUGCAGGGACAUAAACCAUCCAAAUUUGUUUAUCAUAAUUUAAAAAUCCUGCUGCUGGCCCCAGGCAGAUGGGAGGAAAGCGAUAACCAAUGGAAACAUUCAUUAACAUUCCUUCCUCCUCUGGAUGAGUAGGACCUCGGUUAUCUGUUGGUCCAGGCAUCCAGACACUAUCAUUAAUAUAAACCUCCACCAGGGGGUCUAACCAUGUAACAGACCUAAUCAGUGGGGGAAUGGAAUGUAGGCCCAAUAAAUGUAAUUUUGAUCUGCCCCAGCUACGGGGAGACUCACCGCCAAGGAGAUUACUGCCAUCAUAGCUAUCAUUAGAUUACUGGUGGUCAGCAGCUUGUUCUGAGACCUCAGGUUCUCGUCUGCAAUGUGAGCUAGUCUCCUCAUCUGCCCACAGGUCGGUGGAGUUGCUUGGCAAGUUUUACUGGUUUCCAUCUGCUCAACAGAGAUGUUCAUCUGAGCCAUCUGAUGAACCAGGGGUGCAGGGACAUUCCGAGGUCUUUUCCUCUUCCUUGGAUUCUGGCUCAUGGCACAGCUUAAGAUGUCUUGUGGGUACCCAGACAGGAAGCUGAUUCUCUCCUGGCAAGAUACAAGCAAAACCCUCGACCCCAUGUAAUGAUUUUGCCCUUUUCCCAAGUUUGGUUCUGACGUCCUUCCACUACAUGUUUUCCUUCAUGAGGAUUUAUUUUUUGUCCUGUCAAAUGCUGCUCUGCUGCCGUUGUAACCUGAUCUCUAGACAAAUUCAAA
rnacentral:lncRNA from 10 species